AUGUAUUCACAUUAUAUAAUGUAUAUUUAUUUACUCAUAUCCAUAAUUCACAUAAUCAUAACAUAUUUCACUUCUCACAUUAAUUUUAACUUUUCUCCAUAAAAGUUAACUGUUGACUUUGACCAAAAGUCAAUAUUUACACAUUUUGUGCUUACUGUCCAUUCUGACUAAACUCGACGUUUUGGACGCAAUCGAGCAGUCCAUGCUUCAAAAUUCUAUCUCUAACUCAAAUUUUGAGUUUUAAAUUACUCCAUUCUCAUUACUAAUCGUAUUAACUAACGACUUUAUACUUAUUCAAAUUCUUAUUUGCCAAUCAAGGCCAACACUCAAGCUAUGUUAAUUACUAACAUAGUUUUAAUCUUGAUCAUUAUAUCAUUAACUUAAUUCAUCAUUCUUCUUGCUUAAAUAUAUAUAGCACAUUACUAAGUAUAUAUAUAUUUCUAUACAUAUACUCAUCUUCGUUUAACCUCAUAGCAUCUCUUCAUGUGAAAUCUUAUUUCCAAUAAUAAAAUUUCCAUAUGUACUUAUAUAACAUUUCUUAGACUAUUCAGUUCACAUCGAAUUUACAGGUAUCGUAAUACCUUAUUCUUGAUAUUCCUUCAAGUACAUAUUAAUUCAUUUCUAGGGUUUUGGAAUUUUGUAACCCAUAUUUUCUCUAUUCUCAUUCGAAUAUCAAACCAUAUAGGUUUUACUUGAAAAUUUUAAAUAAAUUCUCAAAUUCUCAUCUAGGUUUUAUUCUUUAACCUUUAUUCUAAUCAUUCAAGAUUUUAGAAUCUUUUCG
rnacentral:lncRNA from 1 species